UACGGGGGGGGCAAGCGUUGUUCGGAAUUACUGGGCGUAAAGGGCUCGUAGGUGGCCAACUAAGUCAGACGUGAAAUCCCUCGGCUUAACCGGGGAACUGCGUCUGAUACUGGAUGGCUAGAGUUUGGGAGAGGGAUGCGGAAUUCCAGGUGUAGCGGUGAAAUGCGUAGAUAUCUGGAGGAACACCGGUGGUGAAGGCGGCAUCCUGGACCAACACUGACGCUGAGGAGCGAAAGCCAGGGGAGCAAACGGG
rnacentral:rRNA from 1 species